GACGAACGCUGGCGGCGUGCCUAAUACAUGCAAGUAGAACGCUGAAGGAGGAGCUUGCUUCUCUGGAUGAGUUGCGAACGGGUGAGUAACGCGUAGGUAACCUGCCUGGUAGCGGGGGAUAACUAUUGGAAACGAUAGCUAAUACCGCAUAAUAGUAGAUGUCGCAUGACAUUUGCUUAAAAGGUGCAAUUGCAUCACUACCAGGUGGACCUGCGUUGUAUUAGCCAGUUGGUGAGGUAACGGCUCACCAAGGCAACGAUACAUAGCCGACCUGAGAGGGGGAGCUGCCAAGCCGAGACGGGGACACGGCCCAGACUCCUGCGGGAGGCAGCAGGAGGGAAUCUUCGGCAAAGGAAGGAAGUCUGACCGAGCAACGCCGCGUGAGUGAAGAAGGUUUUCGGAUCGUAAAGCUCUGUUGUAAGAGAAGAACGAGUGUGAGAGUGGAAAGUUCACAAUGUGACGGUAUCUGACCAGAAAGGGACGGCUAACUACGUG
rnacentral:rRNA from 1 species